rnacentral:rRNA from 1 species
UACAGAGGUCCCAAGCGUUACUGAGAAUCACUGGGUUUAAAGGGUGCGUAGGUGGUCCGUUAAGUCAGUUGUGAAAUCCCCGGGCUCAACCCGGGAAAUGCUUCUGAUACUGGCGGACUUGAGGCCAGUAGGGGUCACUAGAACUCCCGGUGGACCAGUGAAAUGGGUAGAGAUCGGGAAGAAUACCAGUGGUGCAGACGGCUGGCUGGGGUGUACCUGACGCUGAGACGCGAAAGCGUGGGGAGCGAACAGG